rnacentral:rRNA from 1 species
AUACGGAGGGUGCAAGCGUUAAUCGGAAUUACUGGGCGUAAAGCGCGCGUAGGCGGUUGGAUAAGUCGGAUGUGAAAUCCCUGGGCUCAACCUGGGAACUGCAUUCGAUACUGUCUAACUAGAGUAUGGUAGAGGGAAGUGGAAUUCCGGGUGUAGCGGUGAAAUGCGUAGAUAUCCGGAGGAACAUCAGUGGCGAAGGCGACUUCCUGGACCAAUACUGACGCUGAGGUGCGAAAGCGUGGGGAGCAAACAGGAGUAGAAACCCCGGUAGUCC